UACAGAGGUCCCGAGCGUUGUUCGGAUUCACUGGGCGUAAAGGGCGCGUAGGCGGCCACCGCAAGUCGGUUGUGAAAUCUCUGGGCUUAACCCAGAAAGGUCAACCGAUACUGCGGGGCUAGAGUGCAGAAGGGGCAACUGGAAUUCUUGGUGUAGCGGUGAAAUGCGUAGAUAUCAAGAGGAACACCUGCGGCGAAGGCGGGUUGCUGGGCCGACACUGACGCUGAAGUGCGAAAGCUAGGGGGAGCGAACGGGG
rnacentral:rRNA from 1 species